GGGGAAUAUUGGACAAUGGGGGCAACCCUGAUCCAGCAAUGCCGCGUGUGUGAAGAAGGUCUUCGGAUUGUAAAGCACUUUCGACGGGGACGAUGAUGACGGUACCCGUAGAAGAAGCCCCGGCUAACUUCGUGCCAGCAGCCGCGGUAAUACGAAGGGGGCUAGCGUUGCUCGGAAUGACUGGGCGUAAAGGGCGUGUAGGCGGUUUACACAGUCAGAUGUGAAAUCCCCGGGCUUAACCUGGGAGCUGCAUUUGAUACGUGUAGACUAGAGUGUGAGAGAGGGUUGUGGAAUUCCCAGUGUAGAGGUGAAAUUCGUAGAUAUUGGGAAGAACACCGGUGGCGAAGGCGGCAACCUGGCUCAUGACUGACGCUGAGGCGCGAAAGCGUGGGGAGCAAACAGGUUAGGAUACCCUGGU
rnacentral:rRNA from 1 species